UAGGUUUGAUCAUGGCUCAGAACGAACGUUGGCGGCAUGAGGCAUGCAAGUCGCACGUGAAAGUCGCAAGAUGAGUAAAGUGGCGGACGGGCGAGUAACACGUAAUCAAGCUGCCCUUGAGACAGGAAUAACUUCGGGAAACCGAAGCUAAUACCUGAUGGUCUUGCUGGAUCGCAUGGUCUAGCAAGUAAAUGAUGGGGUCCUCCGGGACCUGCUGCUCAGGGAGGUGAUUGCGGCCCAUCAGUUAGUUGGCGGGGUAAUGGCCCACCAAGACUACGACGGGUAGCCGGCCUUAGAGGGUGGUCGGCCGCACUGGGACUGAGACACUGCCCAGACUCCUACGGGAGGCUGCAGUCGAGAAUCUUCCGCAAUGGGCGAAAGCCUGACGGAUGACGCGAUGCCGCGUGGAGGGGUAAGGCCUUCGGGUUGUAAACUCCUGUCACGGGUUAUGAACGGCGUAGUGUUAAUAGCGCUACGAUUGACGUAAGCCCGAGAGGAAGCACUGGCUAACUCUGUGCCAGCAGCCGCGGUACAUACAGAGAGUGCGAACGUUGUUCGGAAUUACUGGGCUUAAAGCGCACGUAGGCGGUGCCGCAAGUGUUGGGUAAAAUCCCACGGCUUACCCGUGGAACUGCCUGGCAAACUGCGCUGCUAGAGGAAGCCGGGGAGAGCGGAACUCCUGGUGGAGCGGUGAAAUGCGUCCAUAUCAGGAGGAACACUGGUGGCGAAGGCGGCUCUCUGGUCCAUUUCUGACGCUGAGGUGCGAAAGCUAGGGGAGCAAACGGGAUUAGAUACCCCGGUAGUCCUAGCUGUAAACGAUGGGCACUAGUUUGGGGUCUCCCUGUGGGAUCCCAGGCG
rnacentral:rRNA from 1 species